UCCUAGUUCGUCUAACGGUUUAAGAUACGGCACUUUCACUGCUGAGAUCGGGGUUCGAUUCCCCGGCUGGGAA
rnacentral:tRNA from 1 species